CUUCGGGUAAUGAGGAUGGCGGACGGGUGAGUAACGCGUAAGGAACUUGCCUCUUGGACUGGGACAACUGUUGGAAACGACAGCUAAUACCGGAUAUUAUGAGAUUCUCGCAUGAGAAACUUAUGAAAGCUAUAUGCGCCAAGAGAGAGCCUUGCGUUCCAUUAGCUAGUUGGUGGGGUAAUGGCCCACCAAGGCGACGAUGGAUAGCCGGCCUGAGAGGGUGAACGGCCACAAGGGGACUGAGACACGGCCCUUACUCCUACGGGAGGCAGCAGUGGGGAAUAUUGGACAAUGGGCCACAAGCCUGAUCCAGCAAUUCUGUGUGCACGAUGAAGGUCUUCGGAUUGUAAAGUGCUUUCAGUUGGGAAGAAGAAAGUGACGGUACCAACAGAAGAAGCGACGGCUAAAUACGUGCCAGCAGCCGCGGUAAUACGUAUGUCGCAAGCGUUAUCCGGAUUUAUUGGGCGUAAAGCGCGUCUAGGCGGAAAAAUAAGUCUGAUGUUAAAAUGCGGGGCUCAACUCCGUAUUGCGUUGGAAACUGUUUUUCUAGAGUACUGGAGAGGUGGGCGGA
rnacentral:rRNA from 1 species